UACGUAGGGGGCAAGCGUUGUCCGGAAUUAUUGGGCGUAAAGAGCGCGUAGGCGGUCCGAUAAGUCGGCUGUGAAAGUCAGGGGCUCAACCCUUGGAAGCCGGCCGAUACUGUCGGACUAGAGUCCGGAAGAGGCGAGUGGAAUUCCCGGUGUAGCGGUGAAAUGCGCAGAUAUCGGGAGGAACACCAAUGGCGAAGGCAGCUCGCUGGGACGGUACUGACGCUGAGGCGCGAAAGCGUGGGGAGCGAUCCGG
rnacentral:rRNA from 1 species